UUGGAAAACUGUCCGAAGAAAACUCUAAAU
rnacentral:piRNA from 1 species